AACGCUGGCGGCGUGCUUAACACAUGCAAGUCGAACGAAAAGAGGGGAAGAGCUUGCUCUUUUUCAGAAUUGAGUGGCAAACGGGUGAGUAACACGUAAACAACCUGCCUUCAGGAUGGGGACAACAGAAGGAAACUUCUGCUAGUACCCCAUAUGAGCUUGGUUGAAAUACCAAUCUUGAAAACUCCGGUGCUCUAGGAUGAGCCUGCACCUGAUUAGCUUGUUGGUGGUGUAAUGGACUACCAAGGCGACGAUCAGUAGCUGGUUUGAGAGGAUGAUCAGCCACAAUGGGACUGAGACACGGCCCAUACUCCUACGGGAGGCAGCAGUAGGGAAUUUUGCGCAAUGGGCGAAAGCCUGACGCAGCAACGCCGCGUGUGUGAUGACGCCCUUCAGGGUGUAAAACACUGUCAGUAGGGACGAAUUUUGACGGUACCUACAGAGGAAGCACCGGCUAACUCCGUG
rnacentral:rRNA from 1 species